UACGGGGGGGGGCAAGCGUUGUUCGGAAUUACUGGGCGUAAAGGGCUCGUAGGCGGCCAACUAAGUCAGACGUGAAAUCCCCUCGGCUUAACCGGGGAACUGCGUCUGAUACUGGAUGGCUUGAAUCCGGGAGAGGGAUGCGGAAUUCCAGGUGUAGCGGUGAAAAUGCGUAGAUAUCUGGAGGAACACCGGUGGCGAAGGCGGCAAUCCUGGACCGGCAUGACGCUGAGGAGCGAAAAAGCCCAGGGGGGAGCCAAAACGGGG
rnacentral:rRNA from 1 species